rnacentral:rRNA from 1 species
UACGGGGGGGGCAAGCGUUGUUCGGAAUUACUGGGCGUAAAGGGCUCGUAGGUGGCCAACUAAGUCAGACGUGAAAUCCCUCGGCUUAACCGGGGAACUGCGUCUGAUACUGGAUGGCUUGAGAUUGGGAGAGGGAUGCGGAAUUCCAGGUGUAGCGGUGAAAUGCGUAGAUAUCUGGAGGAACACCGGUGGCGAAGGCGGCAUCCUGGACCAACACUGACGCUGAGGAGCGAAAGCCAGGGGAGCAAGCGGG